rnacentral:lncRNA from 1 species
AUUAACGAAUUACCCCCUCCAGGCUAUGAGAGCUACGAGUUCUACGCGGGCUCGGCCUCGGCGCCGCCCGGAGCCGCCUACGGAUCCUGGGAGACUCCCAAGGCUCCGGAGCUGGGGCUGGGAUCCUCCGAGGGAUCCUCGGGAUUGGGAUCCUCGGGAUUGGGAUCCUCGGGAGCCGCCUACGGAUCCGCCGGAUCGGCCUUGGGACUGGGAUCCUCGGGAUUGGGAUCUUCAGGAUUGGGAUCGUCAGGACUGGGAUCCUCAGGAUUGGGAUCUUCAGGAUUGGGAUCUUCAGGAUUGGGAUCCUCAGGACUGGGAGCCUCAGGAGCCGCCUACGGAUCGGGAACUGUAGGAUCUGCCUAUGGAUCGGGAUCCGGGAGCGCCUUCGGAUCCUCGGGAUCAGCCUUGGGACUGGGAUCCUCGGGAUUGGGAUCUUCAGGAUUGGGAUC